rnacentral:rRNA from 1 species
GACGAACGCUGGCGGCGUGCCUAAUACACGCAAGUAGAACGCUGAAGGAGGAGCUUGCUUCUCUGGAUGAGUUGCGAACGGGUGAGUAACGCGUAGGUAACCUGCCUGGUAGCGGGGGAUAACUAUUGGAAACGAUAGCUAAUACCGCAUAAGAGUAGAUGUUGCAUGACAUUUGCUUAAAAGGUGCAAUUGCAUCACUACCAGAUGGACCUGCGUUGUAUUAGCUAGUUGGUGGGGUAACGGCUCACCAAGGCGACGAUACAUAGCCGACCUGAGAGGGUGGUCGGCCACACUGGGACUGGGACACGGCCCCGACUCCUACGGGAGGCAGCAGUAGGGGAUCUUCGGCAAUGGACGGAAGUCUGACCGAGCAACGCCGCGGGAGUGAAGAAGGUUUUCGGGUCGUAAAGCUCUGUUGUAAGAGAAGAACGAGUGUGAGAGUGGAAAGUUCACACUGUGACGGUAUCUUACCAGAAAGGGACGGCUAACUACGUG